rnacentral:rRNA from 1 species
AUUGAACGCUGGCGGCAGGCCUAACACAUGCAAGUCGAACGAGUGGGAGGCGGGUGAAAAAUGUGUGGGAAACUGCCUGAGGGGGGGGGAUAACUACUGAACACGAUAGCUUAUACCGCAUCCCAUCGGGUGUGCCGAUAUGGGAUUCGCGAGUAGGUGGGGAAACGGCUCACCUAGGCGACGAUCCCGAGCGGGUCUGAGAGGAGGACCAGCCACACUGGAACUGAGACACGGUCCAGACUCCUACGGGAGGCAGCAGUGGGGAAUAUUGCACAAUGGGCGCAAGCCUGAUGCAGCCAUGCCGCGUGUAUGAAGAAGGCCUUCGGGUUGUAAAGUACUUUCAGCGGGGAGGCGUUACCCGCAGAAGAAGCACCGGCUAACUCCGUGCCAGCAGCCGCGGUAAUUC